GCAUGGUGGUACAAACCUGUAGUCCCAGCCACUCAGGAGGUUGAGGUGGGAGGACCACUUGAACCCAGGAUGUAGAGGCCGCAGUGAGCCAUGAUCGUGCCACUGCACUCUAGAGCAAGAACCUGUUUAGAAAAAAAAAGACCAAAAUUAUCACCUUUUCUGUGGGUCGAAUGUCUCAGGCUUAAGGUCUGCUAUAAGGCUGCAAUCAGCCUGUCAGCCAGGGGUGCAGUUUCAUCUGAAGGCUGAAUGGUGGGAGGACUGCUUCCAAACUCAUUCAGGCAGCUGUUGGGGAGAUGCAGUUGCUUGUGGGAACUGGACUGAGGGCCUCUGUCCUCAGUUUUCUUGACACGUGGACCUCUACAGACAGCUUGAGAGGUGAAGAUGGCUGGGCCUCUGGGCCGGUGAGGACUUGGAGAACUUUUCUGUCUACCUAAAGGAUUGUAAAUGCACCAAUCAGCACUCUGUGUCUAGCUAAAGGUUUGUAAACACACCAAUCAGUGCUCUGUGUCUAGCUAAUCAGGUAGGGGACUUGGAGAACUUUUCUGUCUAGCUAAAGGAUUGUAAAUGCACCAAUCAGCGCUCUGUGUCUAGCUAAAGGAUUGUAAGCACGCCAAUCAGCGCUCUGUGUCUAGGUAAAGAUUUGUAAACGCACCAAUCAGCUCUCUGUAAAAACGGACCAAUCAGACUCUGUAAAACAGACCAAUCAGCACUCUGUAAAAUGGACCAAUCAGCUAUCUGUAAAAUGGAUCAAUCAGCAGGAUGUGGGUGGGACCAAAUAAGGAAAUAAAAGCAGGCCACCCUAGCCAGCAGCUGCAACUGGCUCAGGGCGCCUUCCAUGCUGUGGAAGCCUUGUUCUUUUGCUCUUUGCAAUAAAUUUUGCUGUUGCACAUUCUAUAGGUCCACAUUAUCUUUAUGAGCUGUAACACUCACCGCGAAGGUCUGUGGCUUCACUCCUGAACUCAGCAUAGACUACAAACCCACCAGAAGGAAGAAAUUCCAGAUACAUCUGAACAUCUGAAGGAACAAACUCCAGGCACACCAUCUUUAAGAACUGUGACACUCACUGCGAGGGUGCAUGGCUUCAUUCUUGAAGUCAGCGACGCCAAGAACCCACCAGAAGGAACCAAUUCCAGACACAAGCUCACAACGUGGCAGCUGGAUUUCCCAACAGCAAGACAGAGUCCAGGCACUGCCGGAAGCCAGAG
rnacentral:lncRNA from 1 species